GACGAACGCUGGCGGCGUGCUUAACACAUGCAAGUCGAGCGGUAAGGCCCUUUCGGGGGUACACGAGCGGCGAACGGGUGAGUAACACGUGGGUGACCUGCCCUCAGCUCUGGGAUAAGCCUGGGAAACUGGGUCUAAUACUGGAUAUGACUCCACGGUGCAUGUCGUGGGGUGGAAAGCCUUGUGCGGCUGAGGGUGGGCCCGCGGCCUAUCAGCUUGUUGGUGGGGUGAUGGCCUACCAAGGCGACGACGGGUAGCCGGCCUGAGAGGGCGACCGGCCACACUGGGACUGAGACACGGCCCAGACUCCUACGGGAGGCAGCAGUGGGGAAUCUUGCGCAAUGGGCGAAAGCCUGACGCAGCGACGCCGCGUGAGGGAUGACGGCCUGGUU
rnacentral:rRNA from 1 species